rnacentral:rRNA from 1 species
GACGAACGCUGGCGGCGUGCUUAACACAUGCAAGUCGAACGGAAAGGCCCUGCUUUUGUGGGGUGCUCGAGUGGCGAACGGGUGAGUAACACGUGAGUAACCUGCCCUUGACUUUGGGAUAACUUCAGGAAACUGGGGCUAAUACCGGAUAGGAGCUCCUGCUGCAUGGUGGGGGUUGGAAAGUUUCGGCGGUUGGGGAUGGACUCGCGGCUUAUCAGCUUGUUGGUGGGGUAGUGGCUUACCAAGGCUUUGACGGGUAGCCGGCCUGAGAGGGUGACCGGCCACAUUGGGAAUGAGAUACGGCCCAGACUCCUACGGGAGGCAGCAGUGGGGAAUAUUGCACAAUGGGCGGAAGCCUGAUGCAGCAACGCCGCGUGCGGGAUGACGGCCUUCGGGUUGUAAACCGCUUUCGCAUGUGACGAAGCGUGAGUGACGGUAAUGGGUAAAGAAGCACCGGCUAACUACGUG